ACUGCUCAGUAACACGUGGCUAACCUACCCUCAGGACGGGGACAAACCCGGGAAACUGGGGCUAAUAUCCGAUAGGCGAGGAAUCCUGGAAUGGUUCUUCACCCAAAGGACAUUGGAAACAUGCUUUCUCUGUCGCCUGGGGAUGGGGCCGCGACCGAUCAGGUUGUUGGUGAGGUAAUGGCUCACCAAGCCUUUAACCGGUACGGGCCAUGAGAGUGGUAGCCCGGAGAUGGGUACUGAGACAAGGACCCAGGCCCUACGGGGCGCAGCAGUCGCGAAAACUCCGCAAUGCACGAAAGUGUGACGGGGCUACCCCGAGUGCCGUCCGCUGAGGAUGGCUUUUCCUUGGUGUAACUAGCCGGGGGAAUAAGGAGAGGGCAAGACUGGUGUCAGCCGCCGCGGUAAUACCAGCUCUCCGAGUGGUAGGGAUGAUUAUUGGGCUUAAAGCGUCCGUAGCCGGCUUAGCAAGUUUCCUGUUAAAUUCAGCGACCUAAUCGUUGAGCCGCGGGAAAUACUACUAGGCUAGGAGGCGGGAGAGGUCGACGGUACUUCUGGGGUAGGGGUGAAAUCCUAUAAUCCCGGGAGGACCACCAGCGGCGAAGGCUGUCGACUAGAACGCGCUCGACGGUGAGGGACGAAAGCUGGGGGAGCGAACCGGAUUAGAUACCCGGGUAGUCCCAGCUGUAAACGAUGCGGGCUAGGUGUUGGGGUGGCUACGUGCCACUUCAGUGCCGCAGGGAAGCCAUUAAGCCCGCCGCCUGGGGAGUACGGCCGCAAGGCUGAAACUUAAAGGAAUUGGCGGGGGAGCACCACAAGGCGUGAAGCUUGCGGUUCAAUUGGAGUCAACGCCGGG
rnacentral:rRNA from 1 species